UGGGGAAUAUUGGACAAUGGGGGCAACCCUGAUCCAGCGAUGCCGCGUGAGUGAAGAAGGCCUUCGGGUUGUAAAGCUCUUUUGUUUGGGAAGAAAGCUCUUUUGUGAAUAGCGAGAGGGGAUGACGGUACUGGGCGAAUAAGCACCGGCUAACUACGUGCCAGCAGCCGCGGUAAUACGUAGGGUGCGAGCGUUAAUCGGAAUGACUGGGCGUAAAGCGUGCGUAGGUGGUUGUGUAAGACAGGCGUGAAAUGCCCGGGCUUAACCUGGGAAUUGCGCUUGUGACUGCAUGGCUAGAAUGCAUCAGAGGGGGGUAGAAUUCCACGUGUAGCAGUGAAAUGCGUAGAGAUGUGGAGGAAUACCGAUGGCGAAGGCAGCCCCCUGGGGUGUGAUUGACACUGAGGCACGAAAGCGUGGGGAGCAAACAGGAUUAGAUACCCCCGUAGUCC
rnacentral:rRNA from 1 species